rnacentral:lncRNA from 1 species
UAGAGGGGGUUGGCGAAGCUGUUGUCUAAGGAUUCCCCCUUUUGUAUUUUUUUUUUUUUGUAUUUUAUUGUAUCCGUGAUCUUCGAUGGAUAAAUAAAAGCUGAUUCGUUUUCCAACCCUGUCGUUUUUCCUUUUUGACUUGAUUACUUCGGCAUGGAUGCGUUCAUUUUAUUGCAGUAUUCAGGGUGAAAAUGGGCGGUCCAAACUUUCCACACCUUAAGCGAUAUAAGCUUUGGGCGACGAGAUAUAUAUGGC